UUGGUGGUGAGAUUUUAGAGAGUACUUUGCAUCAAAACUUCUAUAUCUAUCAAUCACACAUUUGAGAUGGUUAGGUCACUAUUAUAGGGGAAAUGCUGCCCGAUAUUAUUUAGGAUAAUAAACGAUUAGUUGAGAACGGGCAUUACUUGAUUGAACAUGCAAGUCCCAGGCAUUACUUGAGAACGCUAACAAGCACAUCAUAUACAGAGGCACAAAUUAAUGAGUUGCGACAAGAAUGGGCGACAUAUGUGUUGCCGAUAAUCCAAAGUUACCGACCUCGUUGAUAGGUUUUUUUUUUAAUUUUUUAACUCUUUCUUCAUACACAAUGCAAUAUUUGUUCAUUUUGAAUAUUUCUAACAAAUAUUGUAUUUCUUGUAUAUAUCUAACAAAUAUAUUUUUUUAUUUCAAUUUAAAUUAAUAUUAUUUCAAUUUAAUUAAUUUAAAUUUAGAUUAAAAUAAUUUCAA